GAUGAACGCUAGCUACGGGCUUAACACAUGCAAGUCGAGGGGUAACGAGAGGAAAGCUUGCUUUCCUUGUCGACGACCGGCGCACGGGUGAGUAACGCGUAUCCAACCUGCCCCCAACUAGGGAAUAACCUUGCGAAAGUAAGACUAAUACCCUAUAAUUUCCUCAGAUGACAUCUGACGAGGAAUAAAGAUUUAUCGGUUGUGGAUGGGGAUGCGUCUGAUUAGCUUGUUGGCGGGGUAACGGCCCACCAAGGCAACGAUCAGUAGGGGUUCUGAGAGGAAGGUCCCCCACAUUGGAACUGAGACACGGUCCAAACUCCUACGGGAGGCAGCAGUGAGGAAUAUUGGUCAAUGGGCGGAAGCCUGAACCAGCCAAGUAGCGUGCAGGAUGACGGCCCUAUGGGUUGUAAACUGCUUUUAUACAGGGAUAAAGUUAGCCACGUGUGGUUAUUUGUAGGUACUGUAUGAAUAAGGACCGGCUAAUUCCGUGCCAGCCGCCGCGGUAA
rnacentral:rRNA from 1 species